rnacentral:rRNA from 1 species
UGAGGAAAAUGACCUUCGGCGGGGGAUAGCCGGCCCAACGGCCGGGUAAUACCGCGUACGACCACAUGGGGACAUCCCUGAGUGGUGAAAGCAGCAAUGCGCCGAUGGAGUGCCUCGCGGCCUAUCAGCUAGUUGGUGAGGUAACGGCUCACCAAGGCGACGACGGGUAGCUGGUCUGAGAGGAUGGCCAGCCACAUUGGGACUGAGACACGGCCCAGACUCCGUAGGGAGG